GAUGAAGAACGUAGCGAAAUGCGAUAAGUAAUGUGAAUUGCAGAAUUCAGUGAAUCAUCGAAUCUUUGAACGCACCUUGCGCUCUUUGGUAUUCCGAAGAGCAUGCCUGUUUGAGUGUCAUGAAAAUAUCAACCUUGACUUGGGUUUUGUGCUCUAGUCUCGGCUUGGAAUUGGGUGCUUGCCGCUUUUACGAGCGGCUCACCUUAAAUGUAUUAGCGGGAUCUGUCUUUGAGACUUGGUUUGACUUGGCGUAAUAAGUAUUUCGCUAAGGACAUUCUUCGGAGUGGCCUCGUUUCUAGGACGCUUGUCCGCUUUCCAAUACAAGUUCCACCUCGUGGACAUGACUUUUUAUUAUCUGGCCUCAAAUCAGGUAGGACUACCCGCUGAACUUAAGCAUAUCAAUAAGCGGAGGA
rnacentral:misc_RNA from 1 species